CCAGACUCCUACGGGAGGCAGCAGUGGGGGAUAUUGCACAAUGGGGGAAACCCUGAUGCAGCGACGCCGCGUGGGUGAAGAAGCGCCUCGGCGCGUAAAGCCCUGUCAGCAGGGAAGAAAAUGACGGUACCUGAAGAAGAAGCCCCGGCUAACUACGUGCCAGCAGCCGCGGUAAUACGUAGGGGGCAAGCGUUAUCUGGAUUUACUGGGUGUAAAGGGGGCGCAGACGGCGAUGCAAGCCAGGAGUGAAAGCCCGGGGCCCAACCCCGGGACUGCUCUUGGAACUGCGUGGCUGGAGUGCGGGAGGGGCAGGCGGAAUUCCUGGUGUAGCGGUGAAAUGCGUAGAUAUCAGGAGGAACACCGGCGGCGAAGGCGGUCUGCUGGACAGCAACUGACGCUGGGGCGCGAAAGCGUGGGGAGCAAACAGGAUUAGAUACCCGAGUACA
rnacentral:rRNA from 1 species